CCAGGAUGUGUGUGUGUCUGACUCUGCUGUGUACUACUGUGCUCUGAAGCCCACUGUGACUCAAACACACUCAACACUCACACAAAAACAUGCAAAAUAAAUAAAAACUCUCCAACUUUGCCAAAGCAACACUAAACCGUUAGAAACAUAUUAUAAAAUCAUAUUUCAUAAAGUGAGAAUCCUAAACAAUAAAUAAUGUGCUCUUUGUGAAGUUCGACUCAAGCAGAGCAGAUCUACAGUAUUUAAAUUGUUUACAUUAUUUUUAUUUCUUCAGUUUUAACAGAGUGCAGUUCAAUAUGAUCCAGAAUGUGUUUGUGUAUUUGGUUUUUAAGCAGCACAUAUAGGUCCCCAUCACACACUCUCUGAUUUCUUUCUUUCAAGGCUCUUGUUCUUGUGUUCAAAACUGUCACUUCCAACCAAUCACCUGCAUCUGAAGCAAAGAUGAAGACACUGAAGACACACCUCUUCUGUGAGCUCUGAACUAAAGCAUUAGCAUCGGAGCACAGAGAACAUGAACAGAUCUGUAGAAACAUGGAAAAACACCUGUUUCUGAUUUUAUUUCUGACUUCAGGUGUGAUGACUGCAGACAAGAUUGGGGCAAAUAAAGAAACUAACAUUAUAAAGAAGGAAGACGAGACUGUGACCCUCAGCUGCUCAUAUGAAACAGACAGCAAUUAUGUCAGACUUUACUGGUACAGACAGUAUCCUAAUGGAGAGCCUCAGUAUUUAAUGUGGAAAGAGGCUCGUUCAUGGAGUGAUACUGGGAGCCCCUCUGAUCCUCGCUUUCAGUCGACUACAUCACGAACAUCCACUGAACUCAUUAUUAACAGUGUGACUCUGUCAGAUUCAGCUCUCUAUUAUUGUGCUCUAAGAGCUGCAGCCCAGUGAUACAAAGUCUAUGUGAAGCUGUACAAAAACUCAAAUUCAUUUUUCACUUUGAUCUCAAGCCACAUCAAACCCACAAUCUAUAAUUCACACAAUAUUAUUACACCAGUGGAAACACCUGUGUGUGGUUACAAAUGACAUUUAGUUCAAGUUAUAAAGGCAAUUGAAAGAAAAAUUGAAAGGGAUCAAAAUAACAGAGAAAUAAGAUCAUUCCACAUGACUUUAGUACGUCACAGUUUGAUAAAUGUGAUAAAAAAGAAACAUUAUCAUCUGAUAUCUCAUCUGCUUGUGUCUGCCUGAAAAAGUCUGAUCAAUCGAAUAAAUGUCAUUUUACUUCUGAUUUAAUCUGAUUAAUCGAUUCUGACUUUACUUACACUGUUGGUGAAUUAUAU